rnacentral:tRNA from 1 species
GCCGAUUUAGCUCAGUUGGUAGAGCAAUACAUUCGUAAUGUAUGGGUCAAGGGUUCAAAUCCUUUAAUCGGCACCA